rnacentral:lncRNA from 1 species
CAACAAGGGGCUCACAGGACACAACGAUGUGCUUAGUAAACCGGGGGACACUCACAACCACCAGGGGGUACUCAGGACACCAGGGGGUGCCCAGGAAACCAGGGAGCACUGAGGACACCACCGCUCCCUUAGGAGGCAGAUCCACAUCAGAAUCAGGAAAAGUUUGUCUUUUAAGCUCUUCACAGUUGUUAACAAUUGAGUAUGGUAUACUUUACUGAUAAAAAAAUAAAAACAUAAUAUCUUCUUAUUUACAUAAUUUCUCCAAAAUUUGGAAACUGUGUUCCCUCCCACACCUCCAAUAGUCUCCACUAUUAUCAUCAUCUUCUAGAUCUUCUGCGAUGCCCUGGAGAUUAAGGAUUUGAUUCCAUGACAGAGAGGAGGUGCAUUUCGAUGGAACUUUGGUGAAAACCUUGGUCUUUAUCCCAUUUCCUCUGGGGCUCCACCAGUGCCUCUGGAAUCAUGGUUUCAGUGGCUUGCCCCUGCAUGGUGUGCACCCUCAAGAGUGUACGAGUGGUUGAGGUAUGGCUGCUGGAAUUGGCCAAGACUCCGCUGUUGUUACAGGCGCAUGCUCCAAAGUUGGCUUUUCAAUCUCGUCCACCUAUUCAGAGAAUAAAAACUAGUCUAAAGAAAUAUGAAAACAUCAGUACUUUUAUAAAGAAAUGGUAGAAGAAAAGGAGAAAAACAAAAAUAUAUCUAUAAAAGAGCAAGAGGAAUUCUGAGGUGUCCAGUGUGAGGUGCAGCUGGUGGAGUCUGGGGGAGGCUUGGUACAGCCUGGGGGGUCCCUGAGACUCUCCUGUGCAGCCUCUGGAUUCACCUUCAGUAGCUACGACAUGCACUGGGUCCGCCAAGCUACAGGAAAAGGUCUGGAGUGGGUCUCAGCUAUUGGUACUGCUGGUGACCCAUACUAUCCAGGCUCCGUGAAGGGCCGAUUCACCAUCUCCAGAGAAAAUGCCAAGAACUCCUUGUAUCUUCAAAUGAACAGCCUGAGAGCCGGGGACACGGCUGUGUAUUACUGUGCAAGAGACACAGUGAGGGGAAGUCAGUAUGAGCCCAGACACAAACCUCCCUGCAGAAUGCCUGGGGGAAAUCAGCUGCAGGGGGCGCACAGGACCCACUGAUCAGAGUCAUCCCCAGAGGCAGUGUUCCUGCUCCCUGUAAAGUGGGGAUGUGGCUCUUGCUGCCAAAGCUCCAGGUCUCAAGCCCAUUCCCUGCAGCUCAGGUGGGGCUCAGGCUGUGGCUCCUGCAGCCACGUGGAAGAGGCUGAUGGGACUUUCCUCUCUCCCAUUGCUCAGCACCCUCCAGUGUGUCACGUGGAGACUCACCUGCGAAUGGAAGUGGCCAACAGUAGUGAAGGGGAUGAGCUUGUGUGGACAAAAUGGGAUGUGGAUGUGAAAUUUAUCCUGUGCUGUGCAAAGUAGCACAGAGUGAGUCACCUUCCUCACCAGUAGUGUUAGAAAGAGGGUGUGAAAGUUGUCAGAAUCAAAAUAGAUCCACUUGUGUUAAAACCCUGACAAAUGGAACUAGGAAUGACCAUGAAGGAGGUUUCCCAUGCACAUACUCCUGAUAACAAGAUCGACCAUAAAUGGAUUCUGCUUAACCACAACCUUUGAUAGAAGCCACCAUGACCUUAUAAAAAUCACUUCUACAAGGACAUCUUCCCAGCAAAUCACGGUUUAACCCUAUACUGAUGCCAACCUUGGUAUUGACUCUACAAGCAAGGAAAAUCCUCUCAAAACAAUUUAUGCAACCCACCUCAUUUUCACUCAUAAACCUAUGGAUUGACAUCCUGGAGCCACUGCUGCAUUUGUUGUUAAUGAAGUCCUGUGUGAAGUUUACUGAUGGAGUCAGAGGGAGAAAGAUUGUACAGCCCAGCGGUUCACUCAGCCACUCCUGCAAAGACUCUGGAUCACCUUCACUGAUUGCAGCAUAAGCUUGGUCCAGCAGGCUCCAGGACCAGAGUUGGCGUGGGCAGCAACAGGGAGAAAUUCAAGAGGAAGUUCUUACAUGCACCCUUACGUGCACGGUCUCACUGAGAUCUUUACUUCCUUUAUCACGUUUGUUCUGUAAAUCAC